CCUACGGGAGGCAGCAGUAGGGAAUCUUCCACAAUGGACGAAAGUCUGAUGGAGCAACGCCGCGUGAGUGAAGAAGGGUUUCGGCUCGUAAAGCUCUGUUGGUAGUGAAGAAAGAUAGAGGUAGUAACUGGCCUUUAUUUGACGGUAAUUACUUAGAAAGUCCCGGCUAACUACGUGCCAGCAGCCGCGGUAAUACGUAGGUGGCAAGCGUUGUCCGGAUUUAUUGGGCGUAAAGCGAGUGCAGGCGGUUCAAUAAGUCUGAUGUGAAAGCCUUCGGCUCAACCGGAGAAUUGCAUCAGAAACUGUUGAACUGGAGUGCAGAAGAGGAGAGUGGAACUCCAUGUGUAGCGGUGGAAUGCGUAGAUAUAUGGAAGAACACCAGUGGCGAAGGCGGCUCUCUGGUCUGCAACUGACGCUGAGGCUCGAAAGCAUGGGUAGCGAACAGGAUUAAAUACCCUUGUAGUC
rnacentral:rRNA from 1 species